UCAUUUUUCUGCAAGUUUCAUGUGUGAAAUUCUUUUUUCAAUAUAAGUCAUGAGAUAAUGGAAGCUAAAUUUUGAAAUGUUCUUCAAAAUUCUUUCUUUUUUUUUAUUAAAAAAAAAGUCUGUAAUGUUCUAUUCCCUUAAGUCUGUAAUAUGCUAUUCCCUUAAGUUACUAUUGGUUAUGCAAAUGUAACGUGCUUCUUGGUUGCAGAUGACAGAUAAUAAAGGUUUGAGAAGAGCAUCAUCUGACAAACCUUGGAUUUCAUCACCAGAUUUGUUUCAAUUGUUUCAUGAUGCUUGGGGAUUUUAGGUUUGUCACAAGUAUUACCGUUUAUAGGAAUUCUUGUACAAUAAAAUGCCACUUAAAACUAAGCCAAAGUUAGCUGAUGCUUGGUAUAAGCUUCUGUCACUUCUUGCUACUAAUAUUAUGGUACAUCACUUAGAUGCUCGGAUAUAAAGGAAAGCAUAAAUUAAGAACCAAGAAAAUUGUGCUCUGCAUUUGUCCAUGCGCCCUCUGUAUUUCAGACCUUCUAUUCUAUUUGUAAUUGGAAAAAAAACGUUCAUCAGCCAAAUGUUUAA
rnacentral:lncRNA from 1 species